AUUGAACGCUGGCGGCAUGCCUUUCACAUGCAAGUCGAACGGUAACAGGUCUUCGGAUGCUGACGAGUGGCGAACGGGUGAGUAAUACAUCGGAACGUGCCUAGCAGUGGGGGAUAACUACUCGAAAGAGUGGCUAAUACCGCAUGAGAUCUACGGAUGAAAGCAGGGGAUCGCAAGACCUUGUGCUACUAGAGCGGCCGAUGGCAGAUUAGGUAGUUGGUGGGAUAAAAGCUUACCAAGCCGACGAUCUGUAGCUGGUCUGAGAGGACGAUCAGCCACACUGGGACUGAGACACGGCCCAGACUCCUACGGGAGGCAGCAGUGGGGAAUUUUGGACAAUGGGCGAAAGCCUGAUCCAGCAAUGCCGCGUGCAGGAUGAAGGCCUUCGGGUUGUAAACUGCUUUUGUACGGAACGAAAAGCCCCGGGUUAAUACCCUGGGGUCAUGACGGUACCGUAAGAAUAAGCACCGGCUAACUACGUGCCAGCCGCCGCGGUAA
rnacentral:rRNA from 1 species